GGGGGUGAAAGGCCAAUCAAACCGGGAGAUAGCUGGUUCUCCCCGAAAGCUAUUUAGGUAGCGCCUCGUGAAUUCAUCUCCGGGGGUAGAGCACUGUUUCGGCUAGGGGGCCAUCCCGGCUUACCAACCCGAUGCAAACUGCGAAUACCGGAGAAUGUUAUCACGGGAGACACACGGCGGGUGCUAACGUCCGUCGUGAAGAGGGAAACAACCCAGACCGCCAGCUAAGGUCCCAAAGUCAUGGUUAAGUGGGAAACGAUGUGGGAAGGCCCAGACAGCCAGGAUGUUGGCUUAGAAGCAGCCAUCAUUUAAAGAAAGCGUAAUAGCUCACUGGUCGAGUCGGCCUGCGCGGAAGAUGUAACGGGGCUAAACCAUGCACCGAAGCUGCGGCAGCGAACGUAUCACCCAAGACAACUUUACGGAGUUGACGAUUGACGGAGCGAAGCGACGUCAAAGCGUUCAUUAAAGUCGAGUUGGCUUAGGGAUACGUUCGUUGGGUAGGGGAGCGUUCUGUAAGCCUGUGAAGGUGUGUCGUGAGGCAUGCUGGAGGUAUCAGAAGUGCGAAUGCUGACAUAAGUAACGAUAAAGCGGGUGAAAAGCCCGCUCGCCGGAAGACCAAGGGUUCCUGUCCAACGUUAAUCGGGGCAGGGUGAGUCGACCCCUAAGGCGAGGCCGAAAGGCGUAGUCGAUGGGAAACGGGUUAAUAUUCCCGUACUUGGUGUUACUGCGAAGGGGGGACGGAGAAGGCUAUGUUGGCCGGGCGACGGUUGUCCCGGUUUAAGCGUGUAGGUGUGUGUUCCAGGUAAAUCCGGUUCACUUUAACACUGAGGCGUGACGACGAGGCACUACGGUGCUGAAGCAACAAAUGCCCUGCUUCCAGGAAAAGCCUCUAAGCAUCAGGUAACAUCAAAUCGUACCCCAAACCGACACAGGUGGUCAGGUAGAGAAUACCAAGGCGCUUGAGAGAACUCGGGUGAAGGAACUAGGCAAAAUGGUGCCGUAACUUCGGGAGAAGGCACGCUGACACGUAGGUGAAGUGAUUUACUCA
rnacentral:rRNA from 1 species